AGAGUUUGAUCAUGGCUCAGGAUGAACGCUGGCGGUAUGCUUAACACAUGCAAGUCGAACGGGACUCUUCGGAGUUCAGUGGCGGACGGGUGAGUAACGCGUGAGAAUCUGGCUCCAGGUUCGGGACAACCACUGGAAACGGUGGCUAAUACCGGAUGUGCCUAUGGGUGAAAGAGAAAUUGCCUGGAGAUGAGCUCGCGUCUGAUUAGCUAGUUGGAGAGGUAAAGGCUCACCAAGGCGACGAUCAGUAGCUGGUCUGAGAGGACGAUCAGCCACACUGGGACUGAGACACGGCCCAGACUCCUACGGGAGGCAGCAGUGGGGAAUUUUCCGCAAUGGGCGAAAGCCUGACGGAGCAAUACCGCGUGAGGGAGGAAGGCUCUUGGGUUGUAAACCUCUUUUCUCAGGGAAGAAGAUCUGACGGUACCUGAGGAAUAAGCAUCGGCUAACUCCGUGCCAGCAGCCGCGGUAAUUC
rnacentral:rRNA from 1 species